rnacentral:tRNA from 1 species
GCCGGUUUAGCUCAGUUGGUAGAGCGCCUGCCUUCUAAGCAGGAUGUCAGCGGUUCGAGUCCGUUAACCGGCACCA